rnacentral:lncRNA from 10 species
CUCACUGCGAGCUCCGCCUCCCGAGUUCACGCCAUUCUCCUGCCUCAGCCUCAUGAGUAGCUGGGACUACGGGCACCCGCCACCACGCCCAGCUAGUUUUUUUGUAUUUUUAGUAGAGACCGGGUUUCACCGUGUUAGCCACAAUGCUCCUGAUCUCCUGACCUCGUGAUCCGCCUGCCUCGGCCUCCGAAAGUGCUGGGAUUACAGACGUGAGCCACUACGCCCAGCCGGUAAGUCUGUUUUUAAGUCUUUCUCAGCUAUAAGCUUCUGCCUGUAUACCUUCUUUAUUUUGUUUAUUUAUUUAUUUAUUUCGAGAUGGAGUUUCACUCUUGUCACCCAGGUUGAAGUGCAGUGGCAGAAUUUCAGUUCACUGCAACCUCUGCCUCCCGGUUUCAAGUGAUUCUCCUGGCUCAGCCUCCGGAAUAGCUAGGAUUACAGGCACCCGCCACCAUGCCUGGCUAAUUUUUGUAUUUUCAGUAGAGACAAGGUUUCGCCAUGUUGCCCAGGCUGGUCUCGAAUUCCUGACCUUAGAUUAUCCGCCCACCUUGGCCUCCCAAAGUGCUGAGAUUACAGGCAUGAGGCCACUGCGCAGGGCCAGUAUAUCUUAUACUGAAAAUUUUUUUUUUUUUUUUUUCCGAGACGGAGUCUCUCUCUGUCACCCAGGCUGGAGUGCAGUGGCGCAAUCUUGGAUCUCGGCGCACAGCAACCUCUGCCUCCCAGGAUCAAGUGAUUCUCCUGCCUCAGCCUCCUGAAUAGCUGGGAUUACAGGCGCGUGCCACCACAGCCGGCUAACUUUUUUUAUUUUUAGCAGAGACGGGGUUUCACCCUGCUAUCCAGGAUGGUCUUGAUCUCCUGACCUCAGGAUCCGUCCGCCUUAGCCUCCCAAAGUGCUGGGAUUAUAGGCGUGAGCCACCGCUCCUGGGUCUACUGAUCUAUUUUUUUCUACUGACCAGUAAUCCUGUUUUCAGUUUGCCCAAUUCCUGUAUAACUCCUUCAUUAAGUAUCCAUUUUAAAAUAUAUAAAUUCUUAGUUCUUCAUUUUUCACUUUAUUUUUUAAAGAUCCCUGUUCAUUGGUAUAAUUACACCUUUUGUCAUCUUUUCGUUUCUUUUUAAAAUUAUUUUUAUAGAUUUAGAGGGUACAAGUGCAGUUUCAAUACACGGAUAUGUCACAUGGUGGUGAAGUCUGGGCUUUUCAUAACGCCAUCACUGAAAAUAAUGAACAUUGUAGCCAGGAGGCAAUUAGGUUGCAGUGAGCCGAGAUCGCACCACUGCAGUCCAGCCUGGAGACAGAGCAAGACUCCAUCUCCAAGAAAAAAAAAAAAAAAAAGAAGGGCCUCAAGUUUCAUCCAUGUUGCUGCAAAAGAUUCAGUGCAAUCCCAAUCAAAAUACAAACAUAAUUUUUCAAAGACUUAGAAAAGACAACCCUAAACAAAAAGAACAAAGCUGGGGCAGCACAUUACCUGGCUUCAAAUUGUAUUACAAAGCUGUAGUAACCCAAACAGCCUGGUACUGGUAUAUAAAUAAGAGACAUAGAUCAAUGGAACAGAGGGAAUCCAGAAAUAGAGGCACGUGCGUACAGUGAACUGAUCUUUGACGAAGUAGACAAAAACAUACCCUGGGAAGCAACACCCUAAUCAGUACGUUACACUGGGGAAGCUGGCUAGCCACCUGCAGAAGAAUGAAACUGGACCCAUAUCCCUCACCAUAUACAAAAAUUAACUCAAGAUGGAUUGAAGGCUUAAAUGUAAGACCUGAAACUGUAAAAGUCCUAGAAGAAAACCUGGGAAAAAUUCUUUUGGAUAUUAUCCUAGGCAAAAUAAUUCAUGACUAUUACUUCAAAAGCAAAUGCAACGGAAGCAAAAGUAGACAAAUACAUGGGACUUAAUUAAACUAAAAAGCUUCUGAACAGAAAAAGAUGUAAUCAACAGAGUAAACAGUCUACAGAUUGGGACAGGAUAUUUGCAACCUAUGCAUCCAACAAAAGUCUAAUAUCUGGAAUCUACAAAGAACUCAAACAACUCUACAAGAAACAACCCCUUUUGUCAUCUUUCUAAUUGAACAUGUUUAAUGGUGUUUUUAAAGUAUAUGUCUGACAACUUCAAUAUUUCCUUCACUUGUGUUCCUAUUUAUAUUUUUUUGCUUUUAUCUCUAAUUAUUUAUUAAAUUCUAGAAAUUGCUAUGAAGAUCUGUAGCCCCUCUGAAUAAUGUUUUCUUCUUCCACAAAGUCUUCACCCCAUCUUCUGGUAAGCAGCUCAGCCAGGGGAGCCGAUUACCAUAAUCCAGUCAAAGAUGGAGCUCACUCAAGCCUGGUUUCCAGUUUUAUAAGGUUUCAUCUUCCUCUUUCCAUCCCUUCUCCUGUUACUGGUGUCCUAACUUAAAGCUUUGGGUAUUACCUAUGGUCUUUAAGCCCUUGCUUACUCUCAAACUCCACUUUGUUUUUUUUCCACAUCAGGACUAUGGACAGCUGUAUACUCUGAUUGUCACUGACUCACUGCUUGUCAUCUUAGUUUUUUGCCCCAUGGAGCUUAAAAAUGCAGCAAAUGCUUUAACAUCAGACAGGACUGCCUUCUUUUAACUCUUCCUCUCUCCAGGAUCUUGACUUCACAAAUUCUGAAUUCCUUGACAGUCCUGCCAUGUGAUUUUUAUUUCUUCAAAAUGGUCAGAUUGAUGAAUCUCUGAUCAUUAUUUUUCUCUUAGCAGUAGCCCUCUAUAACAAUUCUCAGCUGCUUUGCCCUAUACACAAAUUUGGCAAGUGUUCUCAAAAGUUUGAAAAAGAAAGAAAAGCCAUAUUGAAUAUUGAAUUUAUUUCUCUGCAGUUCUCCUUUCCCUCCUUUCAGAUACCGGCUGCCUCAGUAGCUCUCAGAUGUUUUCAAACAUCUGUAUGUUUAAAUUUUUUCUGCUAUUCCAGCUGUUCUUGGUAGUGAUGCUGCUUGCUACAAAUUACUUCACUGUAGCCCAAGUGGAAAACUCCCAUUGAAUCCUUUUAAAAACAAGAUAUGUUUAGAAAUGCCAGAUUGGUAGCAGAGUUUACAUUCUCUGACUGGCUUACUGGUUUAUAAAUGGUCUAAAGGCCAAAAUUGUUAAAAAGGCAUGUAUAGAUAGUACCUCCUCACGCUGCUUUCUCCUAUGUUGCAGGGCAGUACAGUGCUCAUUGGAUGAUAUGCUUUGAGAGUGAAUGUAGAUUUCCAUAGGGUCCAUAGUACUCUGAGCUUCACUGGGAUAACCAGUUGUGUGUUUGCAGGGUCCCCCAGAAAAUGAAAAUGCAAGUCCCUUGUUCAAAAUUUAUUUAGUAUUUCUAGACACUCCCAGAAAGCUGAUACCAAAUGCAGAGGCCUUCUCAGUAUGGAGUCCUUUGCAACUGCACAGGCCACACAACCUUGUCCCUGGCCCUGGUCUGUGGACCACUAGACUCAGGAAACAUUGAGAAGCAGAAAAACUCACUCCAGCUCUUCUUUAACUUUUAAAAAAUGAUAACUCAUUGAUGAGGUCCAGGAUAUUGCAGAUGGUUGUAAAAACAUAAUCACAUAUUUCUUUUUCCUUGCUGAAUGCACACACUUGUAGUUGAACCUCACUUUUUGCAAGAAUGGAGCUGUUGAUACAAUGAGCAAGGAUAAGUUUUUAACGUAAUAUUUUUUAAUAAUUUAUAUCUGGGACUGCUGUCUCUAGCUGUUGACUGGGGGAGUGUUGAAAGUGUUAUUCCCUAAAAGAGUGAGAAUAAAAUCUUCAAAAUAUCAUACGGAACAGUCAUGAAAUUAUACACAUAUGUGGAGACAUUAGACAUCUGUGUCCCAUCAAAUCUUUGUCUUUCUCUGUAAGGCUCUCCUUAGUAAUUUCUCUAAUUUAUGGUUACAGUUGUCCACAUUUUGUGGGCUGCUAAUGUCAGCAUUCUGCGUACAGAUGCCUCACGCUUUUAACAACUCUGACAGAGGUUUUCACUGCUCAUGUACUAAAUGGUACUAAUCUGUGAAAUAAUAAAAAGUGCUAAAUGGUACACAGCAUGAUUCAUUUGCAUAAUUAUUUGAAAUCCUUCAUGUUUCCUAAAAAUAUUAUUAGAAAACUUUUCAUGUCCCCCUAGCAGGGUUUUCUCCAUGUUUGUACUAAGCAUGGGAACUGUAGCUUCCCUGUGAUUUGCAGGAAUUGUGUGCCAUUGAAGAAAACAAAAGCCUUCAUGAGCUUCUCAAACCAAGAAUAGAGAGGGCUCAACCCUAAUCCUCCUCCUAUGAUUGCAAUUAUGAUGUUCAGUAUUUCCUGAAUGUUUGACAGGAACAUAAAAUAGACAUGAUUGAGAUUUUGCAUCUCUGAUGCCUAGAAGCCACUGCUUGUUUAUUAUCACAAUAUGAAAUUUCAUGAUCAGCUAUUUUAAACACUCCAGGCUUCUCAUGAAAAUUCUAAUUGAGUUGAGCUUGAAGAAAGCAAUAACUGCCUCCUCUGUGGAUCCUGGAUGAUGGUUGUUUCUCUGAAGUGUUGUUGAAAUGAGAGAGUUCCCUGGAUCCCCCUGGCUCAACAGAGAGGCACACUCCUGUUGCAUGAUGUGCAAAUGGCAGGUGCAGGAGCCAAAGUGAGCCCUUGGGGCUCUGGCCCCACAGUAGUGUCUAGGGGUGUGUGUCUGUGACUCCAUAAGCCCAAGUGGGUGUGUGUUACAGUUGUCUUUUCGCUCUGCUGUCUGCAGACAGCUUAAGUGUUUACCAGCUCAGUGCCCUCUUGGCACCCAGGUUCUUGUCUGGAGUCCACAAAGAAUCAGGUCACACAUGGACUUGAAGAGUGAAUGUGGGGUUUUACUGAGUGGUGUAGAUGGCUCUCAGUGGGAUGGAUGGAAAGCUGGAAGGGGGAAUAGAGUAGGAAGAUGAUCGUCCCCUGGAAUUUGGUGUCCAGUGGCAGACUCCUCUCCGAUUGUCCCCAGCCGAACUCCUCUCGGCAUUCAGAUGCUCCUUCUCUUCUCUCCUUGGCUGCACCAUUCUGUUGCUCAUCUCCCUCUGGAGCCUGAGGUUCAAGGUAUAUAUGGGUACAGCAUAGGGGGAUGUGGUGGGUCAAAAGGCAACUUUUUGGGCAUGAAAACAGGAAUGCCUGUUCUCAUUUAUGGCUGCUGGUGUCCAGGCUUGAGGGUGGGACCUUUGCCAGGGAACCACCCUCUUCUACCCAGUAUUUCUCUGUCUCCCAUCCCUAUCAUUGUGAAUUGUCAAGACAGACAAGAGAACUGCUGUAAUUUUUGAAAUCCUUCAUGUCUCCUAAAAAUAUUAUUAGAAAACUUUUCAUGUCACCAAACUUUUCUAUCACCAAAAAUCAUAACAUUACCCUACAUGAAAAUCUCCAAUUGACCAAAGCCCAAUCACCUUAGCACAUGAGAGAGAAAAAUGUUGCUGGAAAAUAAAAUAACAUCUGCUAUGCACUCCUAUAGAAUUGAACAAAGAUUAUUAAUUAUUUAAUGUGUUUUUUUAGUUUCACUCAGUAUUUUAAAACGUCUGUGGUGGGAGGAUGAGAGGAUGAGGGUAUAUAUCUCUCCGGAUAUUGAUGUUGAUACACACAAAAUGCAUUUUAUAAACUAAAGCACAAUUAUUUUUAUGAAACCUAUAACAUUCUCCCUAUAUUUAUUUUAGAUAAUAAGAGAUGCACUAUGUAUAAUUAAUUAAUUAACAAAUCAUUUCUAUUCUUUGGAUAAUAAUUUUAACAACAGCAGAUGUAACAGUAGCAGCUAUUUUGUCUCAUGAGAAAUAAUUUUUCAUUGUUGUCUCUAAUCUAUCAUCAGUUUUUUUAAGAAAAGACACAAAAUCUUUCCUUAGCCUCCUCCAGCCCCACAGAUCUGCUUUGGGCGUUACUUGUUGACUUAGUUAAAACUGUGAGGUUAAAAGGCCAUUCAGUAUUCUGAGUGCUUAAAUAUAAAUAGCAGAAAACACUGAAGCAGAGACAAACUAUCAGGGCUAAUAUAUGGAGGGUCUCCUAUUGGUGAAUAGAGUUGUAUUUUUAAAAUAUUUGACUUUCUAAUUGCUGAUGAUGAAAUUUUUUUUUUUUUUUUUUAAAGCAGAGUCUCGCUCUGUCCCCCAGGCUGCAGUGCAGUGGCAUGAUCUCAGCUCACUGCAGCCUCUGCCUUCCAGGUUCAAGCCUUCUCCUGCCUCAGCCUCCCAAGUAGUUUGGGACUACAGGCGCCCGCCACCACGCCCAACUAAUUUUUUGUAUUUUUUUUUUUAGUAGAGACGGGAUUUCGCCGUGUUAGCCAGGAUGGUCUCGAUCUCCUGAACUCGUGAUCCACCCACCUCAGCCUCCCAAAGUGCUGGGAUUACAGGCGUGAGCCACCGUGCCUGGCCUGAAAUUUUAAAUACUUGCUUUUUUUUUUUCCUGAAAGACAUUUAUAUGUUUACUUCAUGAUGGGGUUUUUUAGUUUGGUAUAUUUUUGUGUUUUAAUGUAGUUUUUUGGUUUGUGAGUAGCUUUUUUUUUUUUUUUUUGAGACGAAGUCUCACUGUCUUGUCGAGGCUGGAAUGCAGUGGAGCGAUCUCGGCUCAUUGCAACCUCCGCCUCCUGGAUUCAAGCUGUUCUCUUGCCUCAGCCUCCUGAGUAGCUGGGAUUACAGGUGCAUGCCACCACGCCCAGCUAAUUUUUGUAUUUUUAGUAGAGAUGGAGUUUCACCAUAUUGGUUAGGCUGGUCUCAAACUUCUGACCUCGUGAUCCACCCGCCUUGGCCUCCCAAAGUGCUGAGAUUACAGACGUGACCCACUGUGCCCAGCUGAGUAGCUUACUUAAUUGCUAAAAGGUUUUGGUAGAAAUGCAAAGAACCAUUUGAACUUUGAAUAGUGUUUGAUUUUAUUGACUUGCAAAUCAGUUCUCAUGUUUCAAAUAUUAAAGACAGUCCCUCUAAAUAUUUACAUAUUACUAAAAAACCAUGAAUCUGAAUGCAUUUAAGAGGUUAAACAUUUUGUUAACACAUAUAUUUACUAAAAAUGUAAUUAAACACAUUUAAAUUUUUAAUUAAAAUCACAAUUCCAACAGAACAUAUUCUUUAAAAUGCUUAACAUCAUAAAAGCAGACCCAUCAUAAAUAUACUAUGAUUAUAAAACUGAUUGGAAUGCAUGUCAUAUCAUAAUCUAAAAAUACUAUUUAUAAAUACUUUCAUAAGUACCAUUGAUUUAAAUUCUUUUCAUUAUUGUUUUUAUUUCUUUCCAAGUUUGUAUUUCUAUGGUCAUCAUAAAUAUACCAGGUUAUAAUGAAAAAUAAAUAUUCUUAUAGACAAGUCAAAAUCUUAAGAUCUGGAAUCAAUGAUUUCUUAUCAAGGCACAGGUCUAAUUUAUGGUUGAGCCUAAAUUGUGCCAAAUCAAUAAUGUUUAAUGUCCACACCUUCACAGUAGCUUUUGUUUUAUGCAACUCACUGUUCACCCUGAAAUAAUGUGCCAUGUUGUUAUCAUUACCCAUGUUCUUGUAAGUAUAUUGAUCUGCUCCAUUGUCACUACUAAAAUUGUAUAUUUUUUAUCUCAUUAUAAUUUUUAGAUGUAGCUAGAGAAUUUUUCUCCUAGGAAUAAGUCUACUCUGCAUUAAAGACAUGUGACUAAUUUGUUUCCUUGGAGUGUGGUUAAAUGCUUUUUCUACUUAUUUUUUCUGUGUGAUGACCAGUACCAAUUAACACUGGGGCUGUCUUUCUCACAGGUUAAUAUGUGUGUCAACCACUGUAUAUGUUGUCCUUCAUUUAGGGUAGGCACUGGUAAACUAUCCUGGGCUUGCCACUGAAUUUUUUUUUUUUUUUUUGAGGCGGAGUCUCGCUCUGUCACCCAGGCUGGAGUGCAGUGGCGCAAUCUCGGCUCACUGCAAGAUCCGCCUCCCGGCUUCACCCCAUUCUCCUGCCUCAGCCUCCUGAGUAGCUGGGACUACAGGCACCCGACACCACGCCUGGCUAAUUUUUGAAUUUUUAGUAGAGACAGGGUUUCACCGUGUUAGCCAGGAUGGUCUUGAUUUUCUGACCUCAUGAUCCACCCACCUCGGCCUCCUGAAGUGCUGGGAUUACAGGUGUGAGCCACCAUGCCUGGCUUGUUGUUCAUUUUGAGAUGGAGUCUUGCUGUGUUGGCCAGGCUGGAGUAUGGUGGCUUGAUCUUGGCUCACUGCAACCUCCACCUCCUGGGUUCAAGCAGUUCUCCUGCCUCAGCUUCCCAAGUAGCUGGAAUUACAGGUGCUCACCACCAUGCCCGGCUGUUUUGUAUUUUUAGUAGAGAUGGGGUUUCACCAUGUGGGCCAGGCUGGGUUUGAACUCCUGACCUGAAGUGAUCCACCCACCUUGGCCUCCCAAGUGCUGGGAUUACAGGCUUGAGCCACCACGCCCGGCCGCCACUGGUUUUUAUAAAUCAAGUUUUAUUUAGACACUGCCGUAUCUAUUCAUUUAGGUAUUGAUUAUGACGGUUUUGUAAGACAAUAGCUGAAUUGAGUAGUUGUAACAGAUACCAUAUGGUCUGUGAAGCCUAAAAUGUUUACUAUCUCACCUCUUACUGAAAAAAUUUUGCCAAAUCCUGCUUUAGGAGACAGUACUUAUUUUUUUCUAUAUUGACUUUGGUUACUCAGAAGUCCUUGGUUUAUUUUUUUCUUGCAUACAGAGAUGGGGUUUGACUAAUUACUAGCAGGUGAUUUCAAUUUCCUUCUAGGACACAAAGUUAAGACAUAUUUCUCAUCUUCCUUACAGUUAGUUGUGGUCAUGUGACUGAAUUCCAGCAAAUAGAGUAUGAGUGGAAGAUUUGAACUGUGUCAUGAAGAAUAAAACAUAAUCCUUUAUUAAAUUUCUGAGUUCCAGUAGUUGCUUUAUGUGUUCGUACUUUUAGAAAUUGACUGGUAGAACAGUCUUUAAGUUGAAACUUUCCAUACUUCCCCUUAAGUUUGGAAAGUAUCUUUGAUCCUUUGUAACAAAAUGUUUCAGAUUUAUUGUAAUUUUUUUUUUCACUUUCAGACAUGGAACCAACUAGCCUGAGGAGCCUGGGUUCCUUUACCGAAGGCCAGCACUAGUAUUGAUCUGUGGGUGUUAGGAUUAUACUAAGAAGUAGCUUUGGUUAAAAGUUGCUGCUGCUGCCGCUGACAGAGAUGGAAAAUACAUUUUGAGUUCACAUUUAUUUUUCCAGUUUAUUAUAUACUCUUGUAUUCCCACAGCUUCCAGUGUAUAGAGAUGCACUGCACUGGUGUUCUAUUAUAAUGACCCUGCUGUUCAGUAAUCAACACUAUAGUGCCAUUUAAGAGACAAUCAAAUAACUUGUUAAAUUUAGGUUUUUUUCCUUCUUCUUACUGGCUAAUAAUGGCAUCUGUAAUUUGUUUGCAAAUAAAUGUUGCAACAGUAUCCAGUGACUUAAUUUUUUUGUCAAUGACAGAUAUAACUUUUUGAUUUUGAAAGUUGUACAGAUAGGUACAAAGCAACAUAAUGUUUGAACAAUGUCCAAUGUGAGCCCUGUACUCACUGACACAAUAGCUUGCUGUGUAGAUGACAUGAAGGGUGCUGGGAGUCCGUGCCCAAAUGUGCAGAAAUGGGCAGUGUUCUAUUUUCAUUCCUCCUUUGGACUGUCUUUCUUUCUGAUCACAUGACUUUUGAGGACAACAGAUAUCAAGCACACAGAACUACUAUUUGUGAUCUCUGGCUACCAAAGCACAUACAAACAAACCUCCCACCACCAGAUUGUACAGCAAGGAUAUGGUCAACAUCUGGAUGUGCGGGUGACCUUCCGCAAUUUGAGCCAAACCAGUUACAAAAUAAACUUCCUCAUUUAGUAAAACAAAGGGAAGAUUGAAGUUUUUUUUUUUUUUCUGAAAAUUUGUAAACAUGAAUGUGUCUCUUCAUCACAAUUUUGGAAUACCUUGAAAUGCCAGGGUAAAUAAGGAAUAUAAAUGUCUGCUUUCAGUAAUUACAGUUCUCCAACUCAAAGAGGAAAAACAAUACCAAUGCUCUUCCUGCAUCCUGAAUGCAUGCAGCACAGAUACAGAAAUGAAGAAUCAAAACCGUGUAGAGUGCAGAAAUUGCACUGUGUAGUGAGAAACUAUCUUUACAAAAAUUGUGAUGAUCCUGUUGCACAAGAUGGCUCAAAAUGAUAGGAAGCUUCUCAAAUAACCAUUUGAAAUCUAGACUGGUGCUGAAUCAUUACUUCUGUUUCACACACAUCCACUUUUAA